AAUUAAGGUAGCCUCAGUAAAGUCUUUAAUGGUGCUGCUGGUGGGAAGAAAUGCAUUUCCACUGCCACAUGUGUCGUCGCGAGGAGGACGGAGCGGUUAGUGAGGACAUCCUGAGGUAACGCGCACCUGCGGCGUCAUCAGCUGCAGGUGGGACACACGGACUUCUGAUGCACCGCAGCGGGCAGGAGGCUCUGCAGAGAACCCGCAACGUGAGGACCUUUUGUGGAUGUAACUUUACCGGCUGUCGACGCACAAACCAGAUGGAUAAAUCUGCACUUCAGGGCCCAGAAGAUAUGUUGAGUACUACGUUGGGUUGAGCCGGUGUAAUGAUCCAAGAUGUCAAAAGACAAAAUCAAGACGGACCCGAUGUUAAAGACAGCUGUGCACAGUCAAACCCGAUCCGAACAGACAUGAGGAUAAUUAGAAACUCAAGAAACCCAAAUGGAGAACACGAGCACUGGCAGCAGCGGAAUGCACCACUAACCUAAGAGCCGGCAGUCAAGACGUCUUCACUGUUUAAUAAAAAAUAAACUCCAGAUAAGUGUAAGAGACUUCACUGCAGAUUGGAGUCUCUGCUCGUGGUUGUCCCAUGACAUCUGUCUCCUACUGUAUGACGCACACAGUUGCGAUUCAAACCCCAAGCAAGUUUUAAUUUUGCGCGCUAAUUUUUCACGCUAUUUUCGAUGGAUAAAGUGUAGAAGUCACGUUCAGUGGACCUGCGUCAUGCAUACGUCUGCUGUUCCUGGUGCAACUUUGUGCUGGUUGGAAUAAAUGUUUGUAAAUGAGGUGUUUAAAGGGUGUCCUUGUUCACACACAGAAGCAUUUUCGAGCAGUUUUGUCCUGGAGGUGGCUGCUGGCAACUUUACGCAGCUAUAUUUAAAGUAAAGAAAUUACAGUAGUUCCAUAUUUAUGUUUACAUAACUCCCUUUCACCUAUUCAUGAUAUUAUUCUAGUGAGUGCCAACAAUUCAUUUCCCCUCUCUGUCU
rnacentral:lncRNA from 1 species